CUACGUGUGGCCGCUGCCCUGGCCUGGCGGGCUCUUGAGUAACGGUAGUUAUAAACAUUCCAAAGUAGACAUGUCAGUUAAAUGAUACCAUAACACCAUAUAGUUACAAUUCUGUUAUAAAUGUGCCGACAGUUCCCAAAAAAAUCCAUUUUCGGUGCUCCCUCCCCCACCCCAUUCCUUCCUGUGACCUACGCAGUGAUGACUGUGGAAGCUACUGGCUCAAUGGAAAGCGGGGAGAAGAUCGAAGGUUUAGUCAUAGUGUGGCCCCACCACCGCCAGCCCUGCCCUCUGGAAAAUAUUUCUGAGAAGCCUCAGUAUUGGUGUCCAGAGCAACAUGCUCAUCUGAAGAACACAUCUGAACUUUCUUUCUGCUGAAAAUCACAUUUAUUCAUACAAGCAAUGGAUUCCCUGGAGAAAUGCAAUUCAAAGAUGGCGGCCAGUGGAGUAAUUGAGGAAUGACUGGCCUCUCUUGGUCCCCUCCUGCCUUUCCUCCUCGCCCCUGCAGUAACGUGGUUUGCUUUUCCUAAGAGAUGCUGAAAGAGAGAAGCCAGCAAACCUCUCCAUCGAUGCAGCAAUGUGGAGGCUUAACAUUCAAUUAGAAAACCCACUUCAGCAUCUCCCACAGAGAAACAUCAGGAAGAGAUUCCUCAUAUAUAUUUUCACAGAAAACACUGGAAUCACCACACAGACUGCUAUAACUGCCCAUUUUCUAACUCUUUGAUGUGUACAAAUCUGACAGCUGAUAUUUGAGGUAAAAUGUGCACCUGAAGAAUUUCCAUUCUCUAUCCUAGAGCAGGAGUCAGCAAACUGCUGCCCAAAAUAACUCUCCAAAUCAUCGACUUCUCUCUAUCAUCGUCCCUUCCCAGGUCACCACCCUGUCUCACUUGGAUGAUUGCAAUAGCUUCCUAACUGGUUUCCCUGAGACCCAUCCAUUCGUCUAUUCCUCCCACCGUUCCUUCCACCAUCCCACUCUCCAUCCAUCCAUCCCAACAUCCAUCCCACUAUCCCACAAUGCAUCCGUCCAUCCAUUCAUCCAUCUCUCCAUCCAUCCAUCAAUCCCACCAUCCAUCCAUUGGUCCAUAUGUCUGUCCAUCCAUCCAUCCAUCCAUCCAUCCAUCCCAUAUGCACUUGAUAAUUACUAUGUCCCAAACACUGUGUAUGUCCUAGUGUAAGUGGGAAACAAAACAAAUUCCCUGCUCCAAAACAAAAUAGCAAAUUUCAAAGUAAGACACCCCAUGAGGGAAAAGAGCAGGCUGUCUUGAAAGAGAAGGAUGUCAGGGGGCCUACUUAGAGUUUUUUUGAAGGUGGGCCUCACCAAGGAGGUGAGACAUUGGCAGAAAGACCGUAUAACUUGUUGUUCGAACUAGCAUACUUUUGAGGGUGAGGAGGAGCCAUCAAAAACUAUUCUAGGGCCGGCCCUGGUGACCUAGUGGUUAAAUUCAGUGCAUUCUGCUUCAGCGGCCUGGGUUCGGUGUCAAGCAUGGACCUACACCACUCGUCAGUGGCCAUGCUGUGGUGGUGCCUCACAUACAAAAAAGAGGAAGAAUGGCAAAAGAUGUUAGCUCAGGGUGAAUCUUCCUCAGGGGAAAAAAAAAAUUCUAGGGCAACAGGUGCAAACCAGGACUGGCUCUGGUAAACUGAGAGGUGUGGUCUCCCUCCUACAUGGCAAGAUGUGGAGGAGGAGCUGAGAAAGUUAGGGGCGAGGAGAGAAAGGACUGCUUUUCUUUGGUGAGAGAGGCUGCAAACCUACAUAAUAGAGAACUAGGAGAGAAAGGAAAGAGGAAAGAGAACAGCCUGCGUGGUGUGGGGCCAGAGAGAGCUUUGCGGAUGGAGGUUAAGUGAAUAGAGUCUCUGAGGGAAAUGAGGGAUGGAAGAGGAAAUAGGAUAUAAGAAGCAUUUCUUAGAUUUUCAAGGGCCAGCAAGAGUUCACUGGAUGCUGCGGUUUUUAUCCUAGGGUGAGACGCUUAGAUCCUUUAAACACGAGUCGGACAGAACCGCUCUGAGAGAGUCAGUGAUGACGCCAGGGCAUUCCCCUCCCAGCCGCCCACCGGUGUCCUCCGAGCCUGCGCCCCACCGGGAGAAGGGGUCUGAUGUUUUAUUCUUCUACCUCCUUCUCAUGUGCAAGGCAACCUACAAUUUCUUGUGGACACAUCAACUUCUCAGUGUCUGUAUCAGGAAUUUCAAACUCUCAUUCAUCCUCCAUCACCUUGAUAAUCUCUACUUGGUUUGAACUGUCUAAAGAAAAAGAAAAAAUGUUUCUCUGUGCUGCGAAUCAAGUCUUUCUUUAGUCCUGUUUUUAUUAUUCUUCUAUCAAAAGAUUCAAGUUAAAGAGCGGGAUUCCUUGUUAAUCUCUUUAAUAAGCUUUGGCUGUUUGGAAUGCACAUAGUUGAGUUGGUCUCCCCAUGGGACCCUGGACCCUGGACCCUGAGGAUGGCCCUGCACGGGGGGUGCCUUAGCUUGUGUCUCUGCUCCGUCACUUGUCUGCAAGCUUGCUGAGGGCAGGGACUGUCUGCUUACCUCUGGUCCCAGCACCUGGCUUGGGGCCGGCACGGAGUAUGUGCUCAGUAAGUGCUGCGUUUGGGAACAGCACUUGGAUCCCAGAACAGUUAACACCCUCCCGCGAGGCCUCGGAGGGCGCAAGCGCCAAGCCCAAGCUUCCUUUCACAUCCUGCUCCUGCAGAAAUGGAGCAGCUGCUCCACUCGGGCUAUUUAAUGUCGAAAUCCCAUCUUCCCCCACGUGAGGCUGGCCUCUUCUCUACCGCCAUCAAUUCUCCAAGGCCGUCCAAGGUGCCUCGUGGAAGCAGACAUCUGCAGAUGGCUCGCGUGACCCGCGGAUGGGGGUUGAGCUUCACGCCUCACUGCCAUGCAGGCUGGUGUCUCCCGUCAGCAUCGGCGGGCCAGGCGGGGUGUCCAGGCAGACCCGUGACCGCCCGGAGGUCCUGCCUGGCAGUCCCUGGGCUGGCAACCUCCGAUGUCAGGGGUGUCACGGUGAACAGUGAUUGUUGAUGACGGGCUGGGGCACCCCACCCUUUAUUCUUGCCCCAGCCGGCUCUGAAAUUCCUGGAGACAGCACUGUCACCCCCUGUCAUCUCUGAGCCUCAGUUAACUCUUCUAGAAACUGGCGAUAACACAGUGCCCCAUGUAGUAGGCACUCGACCACCACAGCAGGAUUGACCCCACCAUGCACGGACUGAAGGCAAAGUGUGGGCUCCCGGAGGACCCACCGCGCUUUGGAGCAAAGCCCUCUCUGGUUGCUCAAGGCGGAUGCAGCCCAGGAGACUUGCAUCUGAAGCUGCCCAGCGAAUUCUGGGAGAAGAUGGUGGUGCAGUUUCCGGGAUGGAGACGUCCCAGGGCCCCGCCCUGAGUCUGAUAAGAUCAGGACCCUGAGACUCAGCGAGCAGCCUGUGAGAGGUGGGAGUAGGAUUCAGAUCCAGUCCUGCCUGUCCCUGAAGCUCCUGUGUUGGCCUCUAACCACUGUGCUGACAGAUCCCGCUGCCGGGCCUUCAGAAACAGCAGAGGAAAGGGGUCGGCAACCUUGUUCCAUGAAGUCCCGGACAGCGAUCCCCUUGGCUCUGCAGGCCGUGAGGUCUCUGUCACGACUGCUCAGCUCUGCCGUCACGGUGCAAAUGCGGCCCCAGACAACGUAGACACAAACGGGCGUGGCUGUGUUCCAAUAAAACUUUACUCACAAACACCGGUGGUGGGCCAGGUUUGGGCUGUGGGCCUUAGGUUUUGGACUC
ensembl:lncRNA